UACAGAGGGUGCAAGCGUUGUUCGGAAUUAUUGGGCGUAAAGCGUCCGCAGGUGGCACUUCAAGUCUGUCGUCAAAGACUGGGGCUUAACCCUGGAAAGGCGGUGGAGACUGAAGCGCUAGAGUGCGGUAGGGGUAGAGGGAAUUCCCGGUGUAGCGGUGAAAUGCGUAGAGAUCGGGAAGAACAUCGGUGGCGAAAGCGCUCUACUGGACCGCAACUGACACUCAGGGACGAAAGCUAGGGGAGCGAAUGGG
rnacentral:rRNA from 1 species